CCAAGCCAGUAAGUCUGUUUUUGAGAGGACAACUGAGAGACUGGGGUUUGAUGUUCAUGAAGUCCAACCUUGUGGAAACGAAGAUGUUGAUGUUGCUAGCUAGCUUAGCUACGGACCACGACUACGACGCACCAUCCCCUGGUAGGUGCAUUGGAUGCAGCUCACACGAGGAUAGUGGAACUGGAGGUGCUGGUGUUGUCACAACUUCAAUGAAGGACUUGUCUCACCAAAUCCUCUCCUCUACAUGGAAAUGUCUGACUUGGUCACUGUCACACCAGGGAAGGCCAAUGACCGCAAGCUGACCUUGCACCUGGGUGAAAUUUUUAGUUGAGGUUUCUCCCCAACAAACUUGUUGUGAGGUGCCUUGUGAUGCUGGUGAUGUCUGGCCAUUUCACCUCCAUCAGUACAAAGUGGGGAACCUGCAAAGGAUCAACCACCUGACAAUUUAGGCUCGCACCCAGAUGUAUCAUAACGAUGCUGCAGUGGGAGACCUUGAGAGGUCAGAGGUCAGAAACUGGGGCUAGGUGCAUUCAUGGCACCUGGGAAUGACAAGGACCGCCCCCGUGAUUACU